UACGUAGGGGGCUAGCGUUGUCCGGAAUCAUUGGGCGUAAAGAGCGUGUAGGCGGCUCGGUAAGUCCGCUGUGAAAGUCCAGGGCUCAACCCUGGAAUGCCAGUGGAAACUGUCGAGCUAGAGUCCGGAAGAGGCGAGUGGAAUUCCUGGUGUAGCGGUGAAAUGCGCAGAUAUCAGGAGGAACACCGAUGGCGAAGGCAGGUCUCUGGGCCGCAACUGACGCUGAGGAGCGAAAGCAUGGGGAGCGAAACAGG
rnacentral:rRNA from 1 species